CUCUCUCUUUGCCUACUGCCAUCCAGGAAGACGUGACUUGCUUCUUCUUGCCUUCCACUAUGAUUGUGGGAAGGCCUCCCCAGUCAUGUGGAACUGUAAGUCCAUUAAACCUCUUUUUCUUCCCAGUCUCAGGUAUGUCUUUAUCAGCAGCAUGAAAAUGGACUAAUACAGUAAAUUGGUACCAGUAGAGGGGGGUGCUGCUGGAAAGAUACCUGAAAAUGUGGAAGCAACUUUGGAACUGGGUAACAGGCAGAGAUUGGAACAGUUUGGAGGGUUCAGAAGAAGACAGGAAUAUGUGGAAAAGUUUGGAACUUCCUAGAGGCUUGUUGAAUGGCUUUGCUCAAAAUGCUGAUAGUGAUAUGGACAAUAAAGUCCAGACUGAGGUGGUUUCAGAUGGAAAUGAGGAACUUGUUGGAAACUGGAGCAAAGGUGACUCUCAUUAUGUUUUAGCAAAGAGACUGGUGGCAUUUUGCCCCUGCUCUAGAGACUUGUGGAACUUUGAACUUGAGAGAGAUGAUUUAGGGAAUCUGGUGGAAGAAAUUUCUAAGCAGUAAAGCAUUCAAAAGGUGACUUGGGUGCUGUUAAAGGCAUUCAGGUUUAUAAGGGAAGCAGAGCAUAAAAGUUUGGAAAAUUUGCAGCCUGACAAUGUGAUAGAAAACAAAAUCCCAUUUUUCUGAGAAGAAAUUCAAGCUGGUUGCAGAAAUUUGCAUAAGUAAUGAGAAGUCGAAUGUUAAUCCUCAAGACAAUGGGGAAAAUGUCCUCAGGGCAUGUCAGAGUUCUUCACAGCAGCCCCUCCCAUCACAGGCCCAGAGGCCUAGGAGGAAAAAGUGGUUUUGUUGGCUGGGUCCAGGGUCCCCAUGCUGUGUGCAGCCUAGGGACUUGGUGCCCUGCAUCCCAGCUGCUUCAGCCAUGGCUGAAAGGGGCGAAUGUAGAACGUGGGUUGUGGCUUCAGAGGGUGCAAGCCUUGGCAGCUUCCACAUGGUAUUAAGCCUGCCAGUCCACAGAAGUCAGGAAUUAGAGUUUGGAAACCUCUGCCUAGAUUUCAAAGGAUGUAUGGAAAUGCCUGGAUGUCCAGGCAAAAGUUUGCAGCAGGGGCAGGGAUCUCAUGGAGACCCUCUGCUAGAGCAGUGCAGAAGGGAAAUCUGGGGUCAGAGCUCCCACACAGAGUCCCUGCUGGCGCACUGCCUAGUGGAGUGGGCACUGUGAGCAGAGGGCCACUAUCUUCCAGACCCCAGAAUGGUAGAUCCACUGACAGCUUGCACCAUGUGACUGGAAAAGCCACAGACUAUCAACGCCAGCCUGUGAAAGCAGCUGGGAGAGAGGCUGUACCCUGCAAAACCACAGGGGCGGAGCUACCCAAGACCAUGGGAACCCAUCUCUUGCAUCAGUGUGACCUGGAAAUGAGACACAGACUCAAAGGAGAUCAUUUUGGAGAAUUAAGAUUUGAGUGACCAGCUGGAUUUCAGGUGCUGUGUGAAGAAUGGAAACAUGCAACAAUAAAGACACCAGUCCUGGUGGACCUGAUGGCCUAUGUCUGGUGUGGCGGGGGACAGAUAAGUAAACAGAUCGUCCUAUACGGGGUAGCCAACGCUAUCAUCUGAUAGAAGUAAGCAUGAGAAUUUGGAUUAAUGAAUGACGUAACUGCUUCAGGGCAACACACCCUCACUGCAGCUGCUUAGCCCAGGAAGCAGCAAGGUCAAUACAAGGAGAGCCACAGGCCUGGGGAGAUGCAUGCCUUCCUUCCUGGCCACGUGGAUCUCACUACUUAGCCCAGAUGGCCUGCGAGAAGGACAAAGCCAAGCACUUCACAACACUGUCAGUUGCUGUCCUGAAGAAGGUGGCCAGGAGCUCUAGAAGGAUUCAAAGCCCCAGGGAUUUUUGGUUUUUAUGUAUACACUUCUCUUUACAUACUUGUUCCUCAACAUCCAAUCAGCCUUGCAGGGAUGAUGUAAUAGCCAGAAAAAUAAGUGAACAGAAGAUUCCGGGUUCUACUUUAUGCCAAUUUUUCUUAAAUAUCUCAGUCACUAGAAAAAGAUCUAUUUGAAAAUCUUGCUCUGAGCAGUUUCUGUCUUGGGCCCAGUUGUUUGAGGAGCCUGUUGAAUUUUUAAAUUUAUUAGUGUUCCCAUGCUUCAUUCAUUGGCAUAUAUGUAUAUUCUCUAUACUUUAUAAUUACAAGUAAGCUCUUGAUAAUAAAAAGUAACUGUCAUUCUGUGAAGCUCUUUAAUGCAGCCAAAGAUAAUUUCAGGGGGCAAUUGGCAGUCUAAGUCCUUGCUUUCUCUCAUUUUAAAGGAGAACCAAAUCAACUUAGAGUGAAUUUGUUCAAAUGUGGGUAAGAUUUAACAGGCACUUCAGCUGCCCAGGGUACUUUUCCAUGUCUCUCCAACCAACCCCACCCAAAUAGCUUAGGAUUGGCAUUUUCUGAUGAGCACAGGGAUAGAGAAUGAGAACGGAGUCAGGUCCUCAGGUAUUCAAGGUUAGAAUUCCUUCUUAACCUUGCCCACUAUGCCCUAUGUGGGGACAUGCUACAGCAGAGAUCACUUGAGAAUUAUCCUGUGGCUCACACUGCCAUAAUUAGUUAUCUGUUCGGCACCUCUCAACUAAUCAGAACAAUGGCACAUCCAAAAGUAAAAGGAGAAGAAAGGAGACAAGAAUACAGCGACUGAAUAAUAAAA
rnacentral:lncRNA from 1 species